rnacentral:rRNA from 1 species
UACGGGGGGGGGCAAGCGUUGUUCGGAAUUACUGGGCGUAAAGGGUUUGUAGGUGGCCGGCUAAGUCAGACGUGAAAUCCCUCAGCUUAACUGGGGAACUGCGUCUGAAACUGAUCGGCUCGAGUGCAGGAGAGGAACGCGGAAUUCCAGGUGUAGCGGUGAAAUGCGUAGAUAUCUGGAGGAACACCGGUGGCGAAGGCGGCGUUCUGGACUGCAACUGACACUGUAAAACGAAAGCCAGGGGAGCAAACGGG